AUGGGUAUUAUGGUAAAAAUCACUAAAAACAAUUUCCUAUCUUUCCCUUAUCCCCCUGUGCUGACCUGGUCACCCCAAAUGGGGCUGUGUUUACAGGUGUCAGUGUCCUUUGAGGACAUGACCGUGGACUUCAGAAGAGAGGAGUGGCAGCACCUGGACUCUGCUCAGAGGUUCCUGUACCAGGACAUGACGCUGAAAACUACAGCCACCUCCUCUCACUGGGGGUCGUUCGAGGACGUCCCUGUGGACUUGAGCAGGGAGGAGUGGCCGCACGUGGACCCUGUACAGAGGUGCCCUGUACCAGGAUGUGACACUGGAGACCUACAGCCAACUGUGCGCAGUGGGUGAGUAAGCACAGCUGCCCUGUGCCCCUUGCCAGGGGGCCUCAGAGACGCUGCUUCCAUUCUCAGCUGCUGAAUGCUUUGGGGCAUCUGAAGUGUGUAAUGGUGUCAUCUUUUUGAUUUGCCCGAGAUACUUCAGUCCUUUUACACUUCUGUGAUUAUUACUCUAUUCCCAGGGAAAUGGGAUUACUUUCCUGAAGAGCAAAUAGAAAGCGUGGUUGAAAAGGCCUAAACCCAAUUAACUGGACCCAUCCUGUAUCGUGUCCUGUUCACAGGAACCAAGUUCCCAAACCAGAGGUCAUCUUCAAGCUGGAGCAAGGAGAGGGCCCCUGGACGUUGUGAGGAGGAAACCCCACAUCAGAGCUGCUCAGAUGUGUGACAUGAGUAGAUGGGGGACGUGGAGUAGAUCUGUUUUUCUAGGACAGGCUGAUGCCUUUGAAAGGCUCUGCAGAUAAUCUGUCUUGAACGUUCUAAGAGCGCCCGUGAUUCCCUUCCCAGAGUUCUCUGCGUCUACGAAGCGCCUUCCUGGAACCCGGGCAAUUUUGUGUUGGCUGCAGCCAUUGUAACAAGAUGGCAGCGUCGGCGGAGUGACCAGGGGUCCUUCCUGGCGGGAGCCGGCGGCAGUGGUGGGUAGCGGUAUCGCCGCCAUAACUUUCACGGCUCCCCUGUACCAGCCCCCGAAGUCGCCGUGAAGGCGAGGCCGUUAACGGGAAGCCAGAAGCCAGAGGCUCAGCCUGCUAACGGUAAGAACCCCCUCAACAGUCUGUGGGGCUGGUGAAAAGAAACCCGACAGUAGCGGCGGUCAGG
rnacentral:lncRNA from 1 species